AUGAACGCUGGCGGCGUGCCUAACACAUGCAAGUCGAACGGACUUUUCAUGAAGCCUAGCGAUUGAAAAGUUAGUGGCGGACGGGUGAGUAACGCGUGGGUAACCUGCCUUGUACUGGGGGACAACAGUUGGAAACGACUGCUAAUACCGCAUAAGCGCACAGCUUCGCAUGAAGCAGUGUGAAAAACUCCGGUGGUACAAGAUGGACCCGCGUCUGAUUAGCUGGUUGGUGAGGUAACGGCCCACCAAGGCAACGAUCAGUAGCCGGCCUGAGAGGGUGAACGGCCACAUUGGGACUGAGACACGGCCCAAACUCCUACGGGAGGCAGCAGUGGGGAAUAUUGCACAAUGGGGGAAACCCUGAUGCAGCAACGCCGCGUGAGUGAAGAAGUAUUUCGGUAUGUAAAGCUCUAUCAGCAGGAAAGAAAAUGACGGUACCUGACUAAGAAGCCCCGGCUAACUACGUGCCAGCAGCCGCGGUAAUACGUAGGGGGCAAGCGUUAUCCGGAUUUACUGGGUGUAAAGGGAGCGUAGACGGUUUUGCAAGUCUGAAGUGAAAGCCCGGGGCUUAACCCCGGGACUGCUUUGGAAACUGUAGAACUAGAGUGCAGGAGAGGUAAGUGGAAUUCCUAGUGUAGCGGUGAAAUGCGUAGAUAUUAGGAGGAACACCAGUGGCGAAGGCGGCUUACUGGACUGUAACUGACGUUGAGGCUCGAAAGCGUGGGGAGCAAACAGGAUUAGAUACCCUGGUAGUCCACGCCGUAAACGAUGAUUACUAGGUGUUGGUGGGUAUGACCCAUCGGUGCCGCAGCAAACGCAAUAAGUAAUCCACCUGGGGAGUACGUUCGCAAGAAUGAAACUCAAAGGAAUUGACGGGGGCCCGCACAAGCGGAGGAACAUGUGGUUUAAUUCGAUGAUACGCGAGGAACCUUACCCGGGCUUGAACUGCAGGCGAACGAUUCAGAGAUGAUGAGCCCCUUCGGGGCGCCUGUGGAGGUGCUGCAUGGUUGUCGUCAGCUCGUGUCGUGAGAUGUUGGGUUAAGUCCCGCAACGAGCGCAACCCUUAUCUUUAGUAGCCAGCAGUAAGAUGGGCACUCUAGAGAGACUGCCGGGGAUAACCCGGAGGAAGGUGGGGAUGACGUCAAAUCAUCAUGCCCCUUAUGACCAGGGCUACACACGUGCUACAAUGGCGUAAACAAAGAGAAGCGAAGUCGUGAGGCAGAGCGAAUCUCAAAAAUAACGUCUCAGUUCGGAUUGUAGUCUGCAACUCGACUACAUGAAGCUGGAAUCGCUAGUAAUCGCAGAUCAGAAUGCUGCGGUGAAUACGUUCCCGGGUCUUGUACACACCGCCCGUCACACCAUGGGAGUCGGAAAUGCCCGAAGUCGGUGACCUAACCGCAAGGAAGGAGCCGCCGAAGGCAGGUCUGAUAACUGGGGUG
rnacentral:rRNA from 1 species